rnacentral:rRNA from 1 species
GGAUCUGCCUACAGGACUGUGACAACGUUUCGAAACGGACUCUAAAACCGGAUGUGCCGAGAGGUGAAAUAUUGUAUAGCCUGUAGAUGAGCUCGCGUCUGAUUAGCUAGUUGGUGAGGUAAGGGCUCACCAAGGUGACGAUCAGUAGCUGGUCUGAGAGGACGAUCAGCCACACUGGGAUUGAGACACGGCCCAGACUCCUACGGGAGGCAGCAGUGGGGAAUUUUCCGCAAUGGGCGCAAGCCUGACGGAGCAAUACCGUGUGAGGGAGGAAGGUCUGUGGAUUGUAAACCUCUUUUGAUAGGGAAGAAGCAAGUGACGGUACCUAUCGAAUCAGCAUCGGCUAACUCCGUGCCAGCAGCCGCGGUAAUACGGAGGAUGCAAGCGUUAUCCGGAAUUAUUGGGCGUAAAGCGUCCGUAGGUGGUUAAUCAAGUCUAUUGUCAAAGCCUGGGGCUCAACCCUGGAGAGGCGGUGGAAACUGGUUAACUAGAGUGCGGUAGGGGCAGAGGGAAUUCCCAGUGUAGCGGUGAAAUGCGUAGAUAUUGGGAAGAACACCGGUGGCGAAAGCGCUUUCCUGGGCCUGCACUGACACUGAGGGACGAAAGCUAGGGGAGCGAAUGGGAUUAGAUACCCCAGUAGUC